CUACAUAAUGAUAAAAAAAAACUAACCGGAUCAAAGUCAUUGAUUAUUAGUGAUUCCAAAAAUUCAACUCGUUAUAUGUAGAUUUUGCAUUCAAACUUUUUUUUUUUAAAUAGUUUUGUAACUAAAUUUAUAUAAUGAUAUAUGAAAAUUAACCAGAUUUUGGAUCAUUCAUUCUUGUGAUCAUUAGCGAUUCCACAAAAUAAAUUUGUUUUCUUAAGAUCAAAAUAAAAUAAAACAAAAUUUAGAUAUACUUUUUGGAGCAUCAAUAUAAAAUCUGACUAGGAAAUGGAGUUACAUGUGCAGUAUUUUCUAACAAAUCAGAUAUCUUUAAAGAAGAAGCUUUGCAGCCAUGUGAGACACUCUCCUCUCCUUGGUUGAUUCCAUCUCAAUCUUCAUAGGCUCAAUAUCAAAAUCCUGAAUAGUACUACCUUCUUCUUCGGUCGCAUCUUGGCUAUGUAAGAUUUAUCUAUCAAAAUCCUGAACAGACUUUCCUGCAAAUACCGGUAAACUUCUUCAUUUGAUGAGUUCUUUAGCUAUCAGAUACCGGAAACCGAAAUUGUGUGGGAUCCAUUCUAUGAUACUCUUUCGGGAUCUCCCCAUAUUGAGUUUCUUGAUUGUUUUCCUCAUGGGUUCCGGGAGACAUUCUUGGAUCUUCUCCAUCAAUGCAACUUGAUUCAAACCCAAGUCUUUGCUGAAAGACUCUAUGAUCUUUGGUAAGAUGGUUUAUGGUUAUUUCUGAACCCAAUUGUUGUGCGAAUGUUUUCUUCUUUUGCGGUUUCCAGCUCUAGGUAUACACUCUCUGGCGUAUAUACUCGAAUCUAUGACGCAGAAGAUGUAGAAUUAGUCCAGUAAGGGUCUAAUAAAUGUACUUAUAUUUGUGUGUGGUGGUGCAUAGAUAUAUGUAGAGAGGAUGAGAUGAAGUACCGGGGGAUCAGAGUAAUUUCCGGAACAGAGAGCAAAGUACAACAAAGGCUCAGGAUGCUCGAGAGUGAUUAUGCUCCGUACUCAUAUCCGGUUCUAAGCUUUUUUGAGGAUUGUGGUAACAAAUUUGAGGUGAGUAACAACCGCAACCACUGUUAGGAUCAGCUCAAAGUCAUGUCCUUGCAUUCGGCUGAGAAGAAUAGAAUUUUGCAAUAUUUCUAUGCUCAUCACACGACCUCCUAUGUUGUAAGCUGGCUGCAAAAUUUAGGCAUUGAAUCAGAAAAUUCAAGAGCAUUUUCUCA